CGAUCCUCGCCCUCCGCUGCAGGGACAUCUUAAGAGCUUUGUCCAGGCCUGCACCCUUCAGCAUCGCGCCCGUGUCGCUGACUCGGCCGCCCCGGUGGAUGUUUAAACUGCUUGGUCCUCUGGGCAAAUUGAGAAUAUCUGAUGAAAUUCUGACCUAAGUUAAAAAUUCAGUCAUGUCUGGCAUUUGGUGGCUGGCAGCUGGGAUUUUAGAUGGGGCUGGAAACUGGUGUACUUAUACAUGGCCUCUCCACCUGGGAUUCCUUACAACAUGUUGGUUGGAGUUCAAGUGUGAGUUCCCAAGAGAGUAUCAGGUGGAAGCUGGUAUUGGAAAGCAUGGCCUUGGAAGUAUGCAGCAUCACUUUCACCUUACCCUGUUUGUCAAGGCAGUUACAAAGGCCCUGUCAGUCCAAGGGAGGAAGAAGUAGACUUGACUUUCUGAUGGAAAAAGUGGCAAGAUUCUGGAAAAGCACAGAGUUGGAAACAUCGUUGCAACCACUUUUGGAAUUGCAGUCUGUCAGAACUAGCAACAUGCAAGAUUAAUGUUAAUAAAAUAUUAUUUAUAAUUACAUCAUAAUCAAGUAGUAGUCAUGGAGAAAUUCUUGAAAGAUGUGCAAGACCUACAUGCUGAAAACAAGGCAUUUGGGAUCCUAGAGAACAAAAUUGAAGGACUUAUACUAUUUGAUUCCAGAUCUUUCUAUAGUACUAAUACUAAUCAAGACAAGUAGGUUAUUGAAAUAAUAGAGAGGUUUUUAAAGUAUAUCCAAGCACAUAUGGUUGGCUAAUUUUGACAGAGACACUAAGACUAUUCAAUAAGGAAGACAGUCUUUUCAAUAAGUGAUACUAUAACAACUUAAUAACCAUGUUGGGGUGGGGAGCUUUGACUCGCUAACCACAAAAAAAAUUCAAAAUGGAUCAUAAACUUACAAGUGAAAAAAAAAGCAACGUGCAAAUCUUCUGGAAGAAAGCAUUGAGAAUAUAUUUCACACAGGACGUAGAAAAAACACUAACCAUAAAAGAAAACAUUUAUAUAACUGGACAUCAUCAAAAAAAAACUUCUAUUCAAGAAAAGAGACCACCAAGAAAGUAGAUAGGUAAGCCACAGACUGAGAGAAGAUGUUCACAAUACAUUCAUCUGACAAAGGACCCAUAUUUAGAAUAUAUAAAUAAUUCCUGCAACUCAAUAUUAAAAGACAUCUAAUUUAAUAAAAGUGGUCAGAAAACUGGAACAUAUUAUAGAUGAGAUAUACAAAAGUUUAACCAGUACAUGAAAAAGUGCUCAAAAUCAUUAGUUGUCAUGAAUAGGCAAAUUAAAACAAUAUUCUAUACACACUCACUAGAAGGUCAAAAUAAAAAGAUUGACUCAAAUAUUACAAAGGAUAUUGAACACCAGAACUCAUGUUAUUGGUAGAAAUGUAAAUUGUUGGUACUGAGGAUAGAACCCAGAUGUGCUUAACCACUGAGCCACAUUCCCUGCACUUUUUUAUAUUUUAUUUUGAGACAGGGUCUUGCUAAGUUGCUUAGGACCUCACUAAGUUGCUGAGGCUGGCCUUGAACUUACAGUCUCCUGCAUUAGCCUCCAGAGUCUGUGGGAUUACAGGCAUGCACCACCAUUCCCAUCUUGCUGUAUACAUUUUUUUAAACUUGUAGUUUCUCAUAAAAUUAAAUAUACACCUUCUCUAUGACUCAUAAAUUCCACAUCUGAUAUUUCCGCAAAAGAAAUGAACACAUAUUCUAUAAAAAUAUUCAAAAUGUAAUGUUAAUAGUUGCAUUAUUCAUAAUAGACACAAAUUGGAAACCAUCCAAAUACCCAUCAACAGGUAAUGAACUGGUCUAUUCCUAUAAUGGAAUAUGACUUAGCAAUAAAAAGGAACAAAUUAACAAGUACACAUUGUGUGUAUGUGUGUCUACACUUGUGUGUAUGUCUCUCUCUCUUCUUAUAAAGCCACCAGUAUUCUGUCAUGUGCACAACAUCCUGAUGACCUUUUCUAAUCCUGAUCUCCUGACAAAGGGUCUACUUCUAAAGACCAUAGUUGAAUUAAAUUUCCACCCUCUUAGCAAAAGCAAAAUAUGAAAGUUUAUAUAGUAGGGUUCAAUGAAAUGAGGUUUAAGGAAAAGCAAAAAUAAACUCUAUGAGUUAGGUUAUAGAGAUUUACUGGGAAGGAAUUCGAAGGCACUUUUGGAGAUGAUGGAAAUUUUCUAUUUUUUGACAAAGAAGUGAAUAUUGGGUGUAUAUGUUUGUUAAGACUAUCAAACUGUACAGUUAAGAUUUAUACAUUUCACUGGAAAUUAAAACUCAAUUUUUAAAAUGCUAAUAGGAAAUUAGUUUUUAAAAUGCUUGAACUACAAUAUAAUAAUGUUAUUUAUAAUAGCAAAAAAUCUGGAAAUUAGGCCCAUGAGAUGAGAAUAAGUUAAAAUUUUUUCCUUUAAAACCCCUAAUUCUCUUGAAAUCAACAAAUUUGGAAGGCUAUUUAAUGAAUAGAGAAAAUAUUUAUAGUGAUUAAUAAUGAAGAAAGUGCAAAUGCAAAGCUGUGUGUAUUUUGUAAUCCAUUUUUCAAUAGAUCACAAUUAAGUAAAUUCUGUACAAUUUAUCUUUAUUGAUAUAUACCAUAUAUCUGUAUAUGAAGUAUUAAAAUACUAACAGUAAAUUGGAAAUGGUGGUACACACCUGCAAUCCCAGGAACUCGGGAGGCUAAGAAAGGAGGAUAGAAAGUUCAGGAUCAGCCUCAGCAACUUAGCGAGGCCCUAAGCAACUUAGUGAGAUCCUGUCUCAAAAUAAAAAAUAAAAAGGGCUGGGGAUGUAACCCAGUGGUUAAGCACCCCUGGGUUCAAUCCUGGUACAAAAAAAAAAAAAAGUUAACUGUAAUCAUCUCUGAAUGGUGGUCUUUAUUUUCUUUUUUAUACCUCUCAGUAUAUUUCAAACUUUUUACAAAAAGAAAUGGUGUCUUCUUAAAUGAAGUGUAGAAGUACAGUGAGUCUACCAGCCCAAAGUUAUGGCUUCCAUCUAAAGCAGGGCUGAACAUGUUUCUAGGAUGAAUGCGCAGGAUCAAAGCAAGUUCUGCUUGCUGCUAUGGUUUGAAUAUGGUUGUUCCCUCUGCUCCUGUUGGAAUUUAAUCCCCAUUGAUAUUAAGAGGGUGAAAAUGUAAUCUAACUAUGGUUUUUAGAUAUGGGACCUUAAGGAGAUUGGGAUCAGAAAGGUCAUCAGGGUAGAGCCCCCAUGAUUGAAUGCUGGUAGCUUUAUAAAAAGAGAGAAGAGACAACAGAGGAAACACAUGCUUACGUCCCACCUCUUGCCAUGUCAUGCCCUUCAAGCAAGAAGGCCAUCACCAGGAUGCAGCGCUCUGACCUUGGAUCAGAGUUGUAAGCCACUAGAACUCUCUUUCCUUUGUAAUUUAUCUGAUCUGUGGUAAUGUGUUAUUAGCAACAAAGAAUGGGUUAAUACAGUUGCCAAGCCAAACCCAGGGGACAGAAGGGACAUGAUAAUAAGAGUAAAGCACCUCUGUAGCAGAUGCCACACAGCUGCAGAGCACCGGGUAAUUCAAUAGCUAACACCACAACUUGAUGACAAAUUAACUAGCUUAAUAAUAAUGAUUAUCACAGCUAGAAUGUUAAGUGCAUACAUUGGUCAUUUACUCUAGCUAAAUGAAUUACUUGGGUUUUCCCUUUUAAUUUUUCAAAAUAAUACAAAGACGAGUACAUUAUCACCUCUGUUCUGUAGGUGAUAACGGCUUGGAGUUAGAGAAGUUACAAAUUUGCUUAAGAUCAAACAGGUAAGUAGUCAGUGGAGAUAGAAUUAAGCUCUUGUCAGAGUGUGUCUCAUGGUCACACUCAUGAUGUUGUGACUAUUGCAUUCCCCUCCUUCUCCAAAGAAGUCUUUCAACAGAGAAGAGGUUAAAAAUAAAAAAUAAAAAGUAUUUCUCAACAGUGACAGUAGCACAAACCGAAAAUCGGACUUUUGUAUAAACUGCGUAAAGGGCUUUAAUUGAGCAUCUGUAUUGUCUGUCACUUCUGCUGACUAAAGACCAACAAAGGCAGUUACUAUUUUGACCACAUGAGCACAUGCACUCUCCUACACAAAAUGAAUUAAAAACUCAUAUUUUACUAAAUUCUGAAAUUUCUCAUCAACCCUCUAGUCACUGAACAUCUGUUGCUUUUUCAGGGUUUAUGAAUGUUCUCUCCUCACUCUCUGUGAUUUGGGGAAUAGAACUAACAAUAUCACAAAUACAACUCUUCAUCCAAGGAGUGGGCUGGGAGCUUCCCAACCAAUUAGGGCAAGUCUCUCUAGAAAUCUGGAAGUGAUCAUGUGAUCUCAAUAGAAGCAACCAGAGGACUUUAGAGAGGCAGAGUCAGUCACAUAAGCCCCCUCCACACACCCCAAGCUUGAGCUCUAGGGAGUCUGUGAUUUGAGGGGGUUCCAGAAGCCCUCUUGGCAUCAUUCAGGAAAGACCUUAUUAUCUAGCCACAAGAUUCAUUUCCUGAUCACGUUGUUUGCUCUGGUUAGUCUAGCCAUUUCUGAAGCUCAGGCUACUUGCUGGACUUUUUAUGACAGAAUAAAUUCCAUUUUUUACUUGAGAUUAUAUAUAACUCUAGAAUGUUUACCUAGAAAGGACUUAGGGAAGGAAAAAAGCUAGAAAACAUAUCUUAAAGCUGUGGCAAGCACUGCUUUCACAGUUUGGGGAUAAUGGAGAUUAAUGGGAAUGGAAACUAAAUCCCUGAGCCACUCCCAGGAGCAAAUGCUAGUUAUUAUAUCACUUGUAAGCAAAACAGUGUGGACUAGUACAAGUCUCUUCAUCCUUUCUGCUCCUCUUCUCCUCUUUAUCAUCAAAUUUACCUGGAACAUGCUAUUAUAAAAAAGUGCUGUGUGUAGAUGAAAGAAUAUCACCAUCAAAAUGAAGCAACAGCAUUACUUCUCAAAAUGUUUUUCAACACUGCUGACUUCAAAAAUAACAUGUGCUCAUAAGCUCAGCUGGUAUGUCGGCUUUCAAACCUUUAUUCCCAGAAAACACUGAUCUACUUGAAUGGGCAAAGAUUAGGAUCAUUCUAAAAAAGAGCUUCCCAGGGUACCAUGCUGUCAUGUCCUAUCACAAAAAAAGAAAAAUCUGUAAUCUUAUAUUCUACAUUUAUUUCUACCUUCUUAUUUCCAUAUAUGUGAUGCUAGAAGAGUAAUUGAGACCAAGAUGAAUACAGAGCCCAUCAGUCAAAAAUUGCC